rnacentral:rRNA from 1 species
GACGAACGCUGGCGGCGUGCUUAACACAUGCAAGUCGAACGAAGCUUGAUUACGGAUUCUUCGGAUGAAGUAUGAUAUGACUGAGUGGCGGACGGGUGAGUAACGCGUGAGUAACCUGCCCUUCAGAGGGGGAUAGCGUUUGGAAACGAACGGUAAUACCGCAUAAUGUAUUUUGACCGCAUGAUCGAAAUACCAAAGAUUUAUCGCUGAAGGAUGGACUCGCGUCUGAUUAGGUAGUUGGUGGGGUAACGGCCUACCAAGCCGACGAUCAGUAGCCGGACUGAGAGGUUGAUCGGCCACAUUGGGACUGAGACACGGCCCAGACUCCUACGGGAGACAGCAGUGGGGAAUAUUGCACAAUGGGCGCAAGCCUGAUGCAGCAACGCCGCGUGAAGGAAGACGGUUUUCGGAUUGUAAACUUCUGUUCUUAGUGAAGAAUAAUGACGGUAGCUAAGGAGCAAGCCACGGCUAACUACGUG